GUUGCUUCUGCCCAGUUUUGUUCCAGGCUCUUCGCCAUGAAGCCUGCACCAACAAAGGAACCCAUGGAAGGGACUGCUGCUGUCAUUCCUAUUCUGUGACAGGCAAGAGUCAAAGGCAAUAAUUAGGCCACUCCUCAAAACUUAGAGUGACUCAGGCACGUGUGCCCCGGCUCCCUAACAGACUGACUUUAGCUGAUGACAUCUACCACAAGUUGAGUAAGUUUGCUCUACCACUCACUCUCUGGCAGGAUCUUCUGUCUCACCACACACCCAAAGGCCAAACGGUCAUGGAUUGAAACUUCUGAAACCUGACAUCUUGCUCCCCAUUCAGACGACCGUCAUUUCAUGUACUGGAGAAGAUGGCCUCCAACCUUAUAUCCCUUUGUAACCAACAUUCCAGAAAAAAGGUCACGCGCCAUCCCAAUCUAUUAGUCUGACAAAUGGAUGCCAUCUUUACUUGGAUUAUAGGUCCACAACGGGACCAAUAUCUGUGUCCAGGAAGAGAGGAUAUGCUAAUUAGCCAGGCCGGAGGACAUCUUUACACUCUUGUCCAAAAGAAGAGAUAUAGAGCAGGGGGAAAAGCAGCAGAUAUCUACUAAAGUUGCCUACAUAGUUUCAGUAUUUUGCAAGAGUUCCUUGACAUUUGCCCCUUUUCUUCUUGAAGAAGA